UUAGCUAACGCGUUAAAUAUGCCGCCUGGGAAGUACGAGCGCAAGCUUAAAACUCAAAGGAAUAGACGGGGAUCCGCACAAGUGGUGGAGCAUGUGGUUUAAUUCGACAAUAAGCGAGAAACCUCACCAGGACUAGAAACUUAGCUGCAAGCCUUAGAAAUAAGGCCGCCUUCGAGGGUGCUAAGCAGGUGCUGCAUGGUCGUCGUCAGCUCGUGCCGUAAGGUGUUCCCUUAAGUGGGGAAACGAGCGCAACCCUUGUCGUAUGUUAUACAUGUCAUACGAGACUGCCCAGACUUUAGUCUGUGAACAAAUUGUUCGUAGUUUAAAGUCUGGGAGGAAGGAGAGGAUGACGUCAGAUCAGCAUGGCCCUUGACGUCCUGGGCAACACACGUGCUACAAUGGCUAGAAUAAAGGGUUGCCAAACCGCGAGGUGGAGCUAAUCCCAAAAAUCUAGUCUCAGUUCGGAUUGGAGUCUGCAACUCGACUCCAUGAAGUCGGAAUCACUAGUAAUCGUGAAUCAGAAUGUCACGGUGAAUACGUUCUCGGAUCUUGUACUCACCGCCCGUCAUACCAAGAGAGCUGGUAACACCCAAAGCUCCUGCGUAAAAACAGGAACAACGGUGGGAUCGGUAAUAAGGGUAAAGUCGUAACAAGGUA
rnacentral:rRNA from 1 species